GGGAACUGCGUUNUGAACUGGGUGACUAGAGUGUNUCAGAGGGAGGUAGAUUUCCACGUGUAGCAGUGAAAUGCGUAGAGAUGUGGAGGAAUACCGAUGGCGAAGGCAGCCUCCUGGGAUAACACUGACGUUCAUGCCCGAAAGCGUGGGUAGCAAACAGGAUUAGAUACCCUGGUAGUCCACGCCCUAAACGAUGUCGAUUAGCUGUUGGGCAGCAUGACUGCUUAGUAGCGAAGCUAACGCGUGAAAUCGACCGCCUGGGGAGUACGGUCGCAAGAUUAAAACUCAAAGGAAUUGACGGGGACCCGCACAAGCGGUGGAUGAUGUGGAUUAAUUCGAUGCAACGCGAAGAACCUUACCUGGUCUUGGCAUGUACGGAACCCUCCAGAGACGGAGGGGUGCCUUCGGGAGCCGUAACACAGGUGCUGCAUGGCUGUCGUCAGCUCGUGUCGUGAGAUGUUGGGUUAAGUCCCGCAACGAGCGCAACCCUUGUCAUUAGUUGCCAUCAUUAAGUUGGGCACUCUAAUGAGACUGCCGGUGGCAAGCCGGAGGAAGGUGGGGAUGACGUCAAGUCCUCAUGGCCCUUAUGACCAGGGCUUCACACGUCAUACAAUGGUCGGUACAGAGGGUAGCCAAGCCGCGAGGUGGAGCCAAUCUCACAAAACCGAUCGUAGUCCGGAUUGCACUCUGCAACUCGAGUGCAUGAAGUCGGAAUCGCUAGUAAUCGCAGGUCAGCAUACUGCGGUGAAUACGUUCCCGGGUCUUGUACACACCGCCCGUCACACCAUGGGAGUGGGGGAUACCAGAAGUAGGUAGGGUAACCGCAAGGAGCCCGCUUA
rnacentral:rRNA from 1 species